rnacentral:misc_RNA from 1 species
UACGAAGGGGGCUAGCGUUUUUCGGAAUUACUGGGCGUAAAGCGCACGUAGGCGGAUUGUUUAGUGAGGGGUGAAAUCCCAGGGCUCAACCCUGGAACUGCCUCUCAUACUGGCAGUCUCGAGUCCGGAAGAGGUGAGUGGAAUUGCGAGUGUAGAGGUGAAAUUCGUAGAUAUUCGCAGGAACACCAGUGGCGAAGGCGGCUCACUGGUCCGGAACUGACGCUGAGGUGCGAAAGCGUGGGGAGCGAACGGG